rnacentral:rRNA from 1 species
AGGACGAACGCUGGCGGCGCGCCUAAUACAUGCAAGUCGAGCGAGAACCAGGGCUUGCCCUGGGGAGAGCGGCGAACGGGUGCGUAUCACGUGAGCAACCUGCCUCAGAGACCGGGAUAACUCGAGGAAACUCGGGCUAAUACCGGAUGUCCUCGAUGGAUCGCAUGGUCCGACGAGGAAAUGGAUUCCGCUCUGAGAUGGGCUCGCGGCCUAUCAGCUUGUUGGUGGGGUAACGGCCUACCAAGGCAACGACGGGUAGCUGGUCUGAGAGGACGAUCAGCCACACUGGGACUGAGAGACGGCCCAGACUCCUACGGGAGGCAGCAGUGAGGAAUUUUCCGCAAUGGGCGAAAGCCUGACGGAGCGACGCCGCGUGUGGGAAGAAGGCCUUCGGGUCGUAAACCACUGUCGAAGGGGACUAUACUGAAGGUACCCUUGGAGGAAGCCCCGGCUAACUACGUGCCAGCAGCCGC